rnacentral:rRNA from 1 species
CCUACGGGUGGCAGCAGUGAGGAAUAUUGGUCAAUGGGCGCGAGCCUGAACCAGCCAAGUAGCGUGAAGGAUGACUGCCCUACGGGUUGUAAACUUCUUUUAUAAAGGAAUAAAGUGAGGCACGUGUGCCUUUUUGUAUGUACUUUAUGAAUAAGGAUCGGCUAACUCCGUGCCAGCAGCCGCGGUAAUACGGAGGAUCCGAGCGUUGGCCGGAUUUAUUGGGUUUAAAGGGAGCGUAGAGGGGUUGUUAAGUCAGUUGUGAAAGUUUCGGGAUCAACCGUAAAAUUGCAAUUGAUACUGGCAGCCUUGAGUACAGUUGAGGUAGGCGGAAUUCGUGGUGUAGCGGUGAAAUGCUUAGAUAUCACGAAGAACUCCGAUUGCGAAGGCAGCUUACUAAACUGCCACUGACAUUGAUGCUCGAAAGUGUGGGUAUCAAACAGGAUUAGAUACCCCAGUAGUC